GUUCUUAUAGUGUAGAUGAGCACAUGAGAUUUUCAAUCUUUUAGGGCACAAUGAAAAAAUGUUGUAGUGUUAAGAAUA
rnacentral:tRNA from 1 species